AGCUUUGUUUGUAGCUGGUAAACAAGAAACAGUAAUAUGCUUCCCUGUGGUAAUUGGAUUAAGGACAAGGCCUCCCUCUUUGUUUAAUAUUUCUGAGAAAAGCUGCCAAGGAUUAAAGCAAGAGCUUCCCGUGGUGAAAUCCUGCCCAGUCCCACGCUGGCUUUGCACACACACAAGGCUCAAUCUCUGCUGGAAUCCCAGUCACAGCCCCCAGAUCAAUGUGCAGUUUAAGGUCUCACAGCCUGACCAGGACAAUCUCUUUCCUCUGAACAUGGAAAAUCAGUUUUUCAUUGUUACAGCACCAGCUCAAGGUAAUUAUGAAGUGGUGUAAUGGUUUUUAAGUUGUGCACAUGGAGGAAAUUCACUGCAGCAGCCAACACUGCUCUGCCUUCACGGGCAACCCUGUGGGUUUGGGAUCUUGAAUUGUGGGUGUGAAAUCUCCUCACAGAAUCUUCUGAGGCUGAAACAAAGACAAGGAACCUUCUGAGAUGGAAAGAGCCAGAGCAAGUUGUUGUGGGAAAGGAAAAUUAAAGAUGGAUGUGGGCCAUGACAUGAAUUGGCUCCAACAGGGCCCAAGAUCCCUGUGGGGUCUGUGGCAGGGACAACUCCCAGAGCUGGACAGGGAAGGGAACCUUCACCCACACUCCCAAAAGCUGAGAAAGAAAAACACCUGCCUGCAGCUGGCUGCAGCUCCUGGAGCUCUGGGGAUUCUGGCACACUCAGGGACAUGGGAUGAUGCCACAAUCAUUCAAACCUUGGGAAUAAUGGAAUUAAUACCACCCCUUGAGCCUGUUCUAGGCAGGCUCCUGCCCAUCAGCCACUGGCUGCAGAUGGCUGGAGUGGAAGUGGAAUUGAUGGAGGCAUCCAGGAAAUGCUGAUUGUUUUUUUCUCACUUUGGCAAUCUGGUCAGGAAAAAUACGAAUUGACCUCUUCCAGCAGCGAAACAUUUAAGCAAGAGGUGCUGAAAAGAAUUGGAGUUUCUGAUUUUAAGUCUCCAACUUGAAAUUGUCUUUGGAUUGCCACUGGUCCAAGUUUCAUGGACUGGUCACUGUGGCCAGGAGUGUCCAAUCCUGCUGGGAAUGCACUGGACCAGGAUGUCAUUUUCACUUUAUACAGCACAGGAGCCUUUCCCUUACCCAGAGGAGCAGCCAGUGCCUUCCUUAGUCCAUAAAUCCCCAGGAUGGACCACAGAGAAAAUAACAGGAAUGUGGAAAUCCCCCACACAGGGAGUUUGUGGUGCUCUGGAUUACAUUUUGGAUUUAAAAUGUUAAAGAUGGGGUGUGGAAUGGCUUCUUUUUAUUGUCAUUGUUGUCACUGCUCUUGUUGCUAUCACUGUUAUCCACAGUUAUCACUGCUAUCACUGUCAGCAAUAUUAAAAUAUUGUAUUUGUCUUGGUUUCUGUUAUUAAACUGUUCUGAUCUCACCCCCUGA